rnacentral:rRNA from 1 species
CCUACGGGUGGCAGCAGUGAGGAAUAUUGGUCAAUGGACGAGAGUCUGAACCAGCCAAGUAGCGUGAAGGAUGACUGCCCUAUGGGUUGUAAACUUCUUUUAUAUGGGAAUAAAACGUUCCACGUGUGGGAUUUUGUAUGUACCAUAUGAAUAAGGAUCGGCUAACUCCGUGCCAGCAGCCGCGGUAAUACGGAGGAUCCGAGCGUUAUCCGGAUUUAUUGGGUUUAAAGGGAGCGUAGGUGGAUUGUUAAGUUAGUUGUGAAAGUUUAGGGCUUAACCGUAAAAUUGCAGUUGAAACUGGCAGUCUUGAGUGCAGGAGAGGUGGGCGGAAUGCGUGGUGUAGCGGUGAAAUGCUUAGAUAUCACGAAGAACUCCGAUUGCGAAGGCAGUUCACUGGACUGCAACUGACACUGAGGCUCGAAAGUGUGGGUAUCAAACAGGAUUAGAUACCCCAGUAGUC